rnacentral:rRNA from 1 species
GAUGAACGCUGGCGGCGUGCCUAAUACAUGCCAGUCGAGCGAACAGAUGAGGAGCUUGCUCCUCUGACGUUAGCGGCGGACGGGUGAGUAACACGUGGAUAACCUACCUAUAAGACUGGGAUAACUUCGGGAAACCGGAGCUAAUACCGGAUAAUAUAUUGAACCGCAUGGUUCAAUAGUGAAAGACGGUUUUGCUGUCCCUUAUAGAUGGAUCCGCGCCGCAUUAGCUAGUUGGUAAGGUAACGGCUUACCAAGGCAACGAUGCGUAGCCGACCUGAGAGGGUGAUCGGCCACACUGGAACUGAGACACGGUCCAGACUCCUACGGGAGGCAGCAGUAGGGAAUCUUCCGCAAUGGGCGAAAGCCUGACGGAGCAACGCCGCGUGAGUGAUGAAGGUCUUCGGAUCGUAAAACUCUGUUAUUAGGGAUGAACAAAUGUGUAAGUAACUAUGCACGUCUUGACGGUACCUAAUCAGAAAGCCACGGCUAACUACGUG